CCUGGCUACAUGGGUCAGCAAGCCCAAGUGUGAGCAGGAGACUACAGCCAAGGACAGGUACUGGGGGGAGUUUCAGAAAGACUCUGGGUUAGGUUCUCAAUUCUUAAUGUAGGGGGAUAGAGGAAUGAGGGGUGUGUACUUGGCUGCCUUAAACUGGCCAAGAUGAGUAACUGGCCUAGGAAAGUCCAUGUCUGACACAUGCUCCCCGCUGCACCUAGCAAUCUCAGGAUUCGCAGUAGUGAGGCAAGUAACCCUUGCAUUGGACUAGGUGCUGGAGUACAGGGACAGGGAGCUAAGCUCCUUCCUGGGCUUACCCAGACAGCGAGAGGGACAGGCGUCAGCAGAGGUUAGUGGGAAAGUGGGGGCACUUCCCGCAGAGGUAUUAGUUAGAGCUGAAUGUUGAAUAGAAAGGAGAAUAUAGGCUACCAGGCUACUUUGGCUAGGAGGGAGGGCCAGGGCCAGAGCCUGAAGAUAAAAAGGUGGUAGAGCUGGCUAGGGUCCAGUCAGCAGUUUCUCCAGCUCAACCUCUUCCAGGUAACCUGUCAUCCUCAUAGACUGAACACUGGGAGACCACACAACAGACUCUUUAGAAGAAUGUCUGUGUGUGGGGCCAAGCACCUUCCAUGGAAGCACCGAGUUCCAAGCACCUUCCAUGGAAGUACUGAGUUCCAAGCAC
rnacentral:lncRNA from 1 species